rnacentral:rRNA from 1 species
CAGCCGCCGCGGUAAUACGUAGGUCCCGAGCGUUGUCCGGAUUUAUUGGGUGUAAAGGGAGCGCAGGCGGUUUAGUAAGUCUGAAGUUAAAGGCAUUGGCUCAACCAAUGUAUGCUUUGGAAACUGUUAGACUUGAGUGCAGAAGGGGAGAGUGGAAUUCCAUGUGUAGCGGUGAAAUGCGUAGAUAUAUGGAGGAACACCGGUGGCGAAAGCGGCUCUCUGGUCUGUCACUGACGCUGAGGCUCGAAAGCGUGGGUAGCGAACAGGAUUAGAUACCCCUGUAGUCCCUGUCUCUUAUACA